rnacentral:rRNA from 1 species
AGAGUUUGAUCCUGGCUCAGAAUGAACGCUGGCGGCAUGCCUACCACAUGCAAGUCGAACGAAGGCUUCGGCCUUAGUGGCGCACGGGUGCGUAACGCGUGGGAAUCUGCCCUUGGGUUCGGAAUAACAGUUAGAAAUGACUGCUAAUACCGGAUGAUGUCGUAAGACCAAAGAUUUAUCGCCCAAGGAUGAGCCCGCGUAGGAUUAGCUAGUUGGUGAGGUAAAAGCUCACCAAGGCGACGAUCCUUAGCUGGUCUGAGAGGAUGAUCAGCCACACUGGGACUGAGACACGGCCCAGACUCCUACGGGAGGCAGCAGUGGGGAAUAUUGGACAAUGGGCGAAAGCCUGAUCCAGCAAUGCCGCGUGAGUGAUGAAGGCCUUAGGGUUGUAAAGCUCUUUUACCCGGGAUGAUAAUGACAGUACCGGGAGAAUAAGCCCCGGCUAACUCCGUGCCAGCAGCCGCGGUAAUACGGAGGGGGCUAGCGUUAUUCGGAAUUACUGGGCGUAAAGCGCACGUAGGCGGCUUUGUAAGUUAGAGGUGAAAGCCCAGAUCUCAACUCUGGAAUUGCCUUUAAAACUGCAUCCCUUGAAUCAUGGAGAGGUGAGUGGGAAUUUCCAGUGUAGAGGUGA